UACGUACGAGGCAAGCGUUAUCCGGAAUACUGGGCGUAAAGCGCGCGCAGGUGGCGAAGUAAGUGAGACGUGAAAUCUCCCGGCCUAACUGGGAGGGGUCGUUUCAUACUGCUUGACUUGAGGACUGCAGAGGUGGGUGGAAUUCCUGGUGUAGUGGUGAAAUGCGUAGAGAUCAGGAGGAACACCGGUGGCGAAGGGCGGC
rnacentral:rRNA from 1 species